rnacentral:rRNA from 1 species
AACGAACGCUGGCGGCAUGCCUAACACAUGCAAGUCGAACGAGACCACCGGGACUAGUGGCGCUUGGGUGCGUCACGUGUCGGAACCUGCACUUAGGCUUGGAAUUACUCUCUGACAGGGGUGCUAACACAGGAAAACGUCCUCGGAUCAAAGAUUGAUCGUCCUUGGAUGGGCAGGCGUUGGUUUAGCUUGUUGCUAGGGUAAAAGCCUAUCAAGGAGACGCUCGAUAGCUGGUUUGAGAGGCAGGUCAGCCACACUGAGACUAGGACGCGGCCCAGACUCCUACGGGAUGCAGGAGUGGGUGAUAUUGGACAAUGGGCGGAGUCCUGAACCAGCUAUGCCUCGUAAGUGAUGAAGGCCUUAGAGUUGUAAAGCUCUUUUACCCGGGAUGAUAAUGACAGUACCGAAAGAAUAAGCUCCGGCUAACUCCGUG